GGAUGUGAGGGCGAUCUGGCUGCGACAUCUGUCACCCCAUUGAUCGCCAGGGUUGAUUCGGCUGAUCUGGCUGGCUAGGAGGGUGUCCCCUUCCUCCCUCACCGCUCCAUGUGCGUCCCUCCCGAAGCUGCCCUCUCGGUUGAAGAGGACGGCCUUCCCCGAAUAGAGACCAACUGGUCUUCGGUGGAGGGUAUACGAGUAGCUGCGCUCCCCUGCUAGAACCUCCAAACAAGCUCUCAAGAAUACAAGCACUUUGUCCUUUAUACUCAUUGAAAAUAUGCUUUGUUAUUAUCACUUGUUAUUUAUUU
rnacentral:snRNA from 1 species